CAUAUCCAACAAGAAGAACAAGAAGAAGAACUACAAGAACAACAAGAACAACAACAGCAACUUGGCAUGUCUCAAGCUUCGUCAUCUUGUUGUUCUCUAUCAUUCUUCUUCUUCUU
rnacentral:ribozyme from 16 species